rnacentral:misc_RNA from 1 species
AAGUCGUAACAAGGUAUCCGUAGGUGAACCUGCGGAUGGAUCAUUAUUGAUAACUUUGGUUAAUUGUGAGUGAUUUGAAUAAGUUCAGAGGGUUGGUUGGAUUCCAGCCAGUCCUCACGUUAAACUCUAUAAAUCUAAUACUUAAUAACAAUAACAAAAGAACAACUUUUAGCAACGGAUCUCUUGGCUCUC